AAUUUAAUUUGCGGUUUACAAUCCUGAAUGAAUUAUUAAUUUGUGUUUAUCUGUUUGCUUUUGUCCCUUCUCUCGAGUUUGACGACUCUGUCUUCCUUCAUCAAGAAGAGGGUCAGCCGGAAAGAGUCCGAAAUACGCAGAGCUUCAUGGAUUUUGUGGAUAGAGUAUUGACAUUGCAGAGUGAUUCUCCCAUAGUCAAAUUCUCCCUCAAGUGUAAAACUGGUGUUGACUCAGAUCGUGUGGAUCGUUGGUUAUGUAAUGUGCUGAAGCGUGGUGUUUCGGACCUCCAUCUUUUCAUUGAUUUCAGAGAUUUAUAUUGGCUGCCUCACGAAGUGGGUGUCAGUAGGACACUGGUUGAGCUGAGACUAGGAAGUGAAUUUGAUCUUUAUUGGUGGGAGAAGGAUAUAUGCUUACCGAUGCUUAAAACUCUUGUUCUUGACUCCUGCGUGUUAUGUAUUGGUCUGUUUCCGAUUCUUCUUUCUGCUUGCCCUGCGCUUGAAGAGUUAGAUAUGAGUAAUACCCGGUGGAGGGAGUCCAAUGUGACUGUGUCUAGCCAGAUCCUCCAAGUCUUGUUUACUUUUAUUACUGUGAUUCUCUUGCGGAGGACUAUCCACAAGUUAACUUUGAAAACUUAGUCGAGGCUCAAAUCAACCUUUUAUUAACUCAAGGUGCUUUCAAGGUGCUGUGAAGCGAUGCCAGUGUUCAACAACCUCAAAUUGUUAAGUAUUUGGAGUGACAUGAAUCGGGGAUGGCAAGCAAUGCCAGUUCUUUUAAGGAAUUGCCCACAUUUAGAAACUCUAAUCAUUGAGGGUCUCUUCUUCAAGUUAGCCACAGUAAGAUAAUAUAAUAACCUGAAGACUUACUUAUCUCCAAUUGAAUCAUACCACUCCCUGUA